GACGAACGCUGGCGGCGUGCUUAACACAUGCAAGUCGAACGAUGAACUGGCAUCUUGCUGCUGGGGAUUAGUGGCGAACGGGUGAGUAACACGUGAGUAACCUGCCCUGGACUCUGGGAUAACCCCGAGAAAUCGGAGCUAAUACCGGAUAGGACCCUGUACCGCAUGGUGUGGGGUGGAAAGUUUUUUCGGUCUGGGAUGGACUCGCGGCCUAUCAGCUUGUUGGUGAGGUAAUGGCUCACCAAGGCUUCGACGGGUAGCCGGCCUGAGAGGGCUGCCGGCCACACUGGGACUGAGACACGGCGCAGACUCCUACGGGAGGCAGCAGUGGGGAAUAUUGCACAAUGGGCGCAAGCCUGAUGCAGCAACGCCGCGUGCGGGAUGACGGCCUUCGGGUUGUAAACCGCUUUUAGUAGGGAAGAAGCCUUCGGGUGACGGUACCUGCAGAAAAAGGACCGGCUAACUACGUGCCAGCAGCCACCGUAACAC
rnacentral:rRNA from 1 species